rnacentral:rRNA from 1 species
GAUGAACGCUGGCGGCGUGCCUAAUACAUGCAAGUCGAGCGAACAGACGAGGAGCUUGCUCCUCUGACGUUAGCGGCGGACGGGUGAGUAACACGUGGAUAACCUACCUAUAAGACUGGGAUAACUUCGGGAAACCGGAGCUAAUACCGGAUAAUAUAUUGAACCGCAUGGUUCAAUAGUGAAAGACGGUUUUGCUGUCACUUAUAGAUGGAUCCGCGCCGCAUUAGCUAGUUGGUAAGGUAACGGCUUACCAAGGCAACGAUGCGUAGCCGACCUGAGAGGGUGAUCGGCCACACUGGAACUGAGACACGGUCCAGACUCCUACGGGAGGCAGCAGUAGGGAAUCUUCCGCAAGGGGCGAAAGCCUGACGGAGCAACGCCGCGUGAGUGAUGAAGGUCUUCGGACCGUAAAACUCUGUUAUUAGGGAAGAACAAAUGUGUAAGUAACUAUGCACGUCUUGACGGUACCUAAUCAGAAAGCCACGGCUAACUACGUG